UUAAAGUAUUUCAUCAGUUGGACCUACCAAAUCUCAAGUCAGGAUUUGGCCAUCUCUGCUCUUGCCAUUCCAUCUCUCACGACUCUAUCCUCAAAACCUGGGCUUGGCUGGGAACAAGAGCUUUAAAUCAGACUCUUUUAGGUUUUCCUAAUAAGACUGCUGCAAAUAAGGAUUGAGCCCUAGCUGAAGGCCUCAUCCUUCCAUGCCCUUUGCUUGUCCACCCAGCAACAAGCCAGGGUGAGGAGAAACAAAGACAGCAGCAUUGACCCACAGAACCCUUUGUUGGCAGGAGCAAAAAUUGAUAGUGGAACACAUGAGGGCAGUUCCACAAGAUCCGCGCAUGAAGAUUUGGAUUUGUCAAGAAAAAUAUUAUUCUUUAGUGAACAAGAAAGAAAACAAGACAAUUUAAAAACAUCUAGCUUAAAGAUGAGCAUGGCAAUUUCAGGUGUAAGUGGUCACGCAGGAAUGAAAGGCUGUGCUGUCUGUAUACCACUGCACUGUUGCCUCCCUGGAGAACUUUAUGCUUUACCCUGGAAGUACCCUAUCUUCAAAGCAGGGGUGUUUGCAAAUUCAUUCCCAUAACAGGGUGGAGCACAUCGAGAAAGACUGUACUGAAACUUCCAGAUAGAACUUAUGAGGACCCAGACCCAGCAGUGGCUGUGAGGAUGAAGAGGCAAUGGGAUCUGGGACCUCAGAUAGAUCCAAGAAAUAUGCAGCAGUGGGGAUCAAUGGCCUUGUAUGGAUCCUUGAUGUUAGAAGGAAAAGUGAGAUGAAUGA
rnacentral:lncRNA from 1 species